CCCUUAGAGUUUGAUCCUGGCUCAGAGUGAACGCUGGCGGCAGGCCUAACACAUGCAAGUCGAGCGGCAGCGCGGGGCAACCUGGCGGCGAGCGGCGGACGGGUGAGGAAUGCAUCGGAAUCUACCCUGUCGUGGGGGAUAACGUAGGGAAACUUACGCUAAUACCGCAUACGACCGAGAGGUGAAAGUGGGGGACCUUCGGGCCUCACGCGAUUGGAUGAGCCGAUGCCGGAUUAGCUAGUUGGUGGGGUAAAGGCCCACCAAGGCGACGAUCCGUAGCUGGUCUGAGAGGAUGAUCAGCCACAUUGGGACUGAGACACGGCCCAAACUCCUACGGGAGGCAGCAGUGGGGAAUAUUGGACAAUGGGCGCAAGCCUGAUCCAGCCAUGCCGCGUGUGUGAAGAAGGCCUUCGGGUUGUAAAGCACUUUUGUUCGGGAAGAAAUCGUGCGGAUUAAUACUUCGUACGGAUGACGGUACCGAAAGAAUAAGCACCGGCUAACUUCGUGCCAGCAGCCGCGGUAAUACGAAGGGUGCAAGCGUUACUCGGAAUCACUGGGCGUAAAGCGUGCGUAGGCGGUUGGUUAAGUCUGCUGUGAAAGCCCUGGGCUCAACCUGGGAACUGCAGUGGAUACUGGCUAGCUAGAGUGUGAUAGAGGAUGGUGGAAUUCCCGGUGUAGCGGUGAAAUGCGUAGAGAUCGGGAGGAACACCAGUGGCGAAGGCGGCCAUCUGGAUCAACACUGACGCUGAGGCACGAAAGCGUGGGGAGCAAACAGGAUUAGAUACCCUGGUAGUCCACGCCCUAAACGAUGCGAACUGGACGUUGGUUGCAACUUGGCAAUCAGUGUCGAAGCUAACGCGUUAAGUUCGCCGCCUGGGGAGUACGGUCGCAAGACUGAAACUCAAAGGAAUUGACGGGGGCCCGCACAAGCGGUGGAGUAUGUGGUUUAAUUCGAUGCAACGCGCAGAACCUUACCUGGCCUUGACAUCCACGGAACUUUCCAGAGAUGGAUUGGUGCCUUCGGGAACCGUGAGACAGGUGCUGCAUGGCUGUCGUCAGCUCGUGUCGUGAGAUGUUGGGUUAAGUCCCGCAACGAGCGCAACCCUUGUCCUUAGUUGCCAGCACGUAAUGGUGGGAACUCUAAGGAGACUGCCGGUGACAAACCGGAGGAAGGUGGGGAUGACGUCAAGUCAUCAUGGCCCUUACGGCCAGGGCUACACACGUACUACAAUGGUCGGUACAGAGGGUUGCAAUACCGCGAGGUGGAGCCAAUCCCAGAAAACCGAUCCCAGUCCGGAUCGGAGUCUGCAACUCGACUCCGUGAAGUCGGAAUCGCUAGUAAUCGCGGAUCAGCUAUGCCGCGGUGAAUACGUUCCCGGGCCUUGUACACACCGCCCGUCACACCAUGGGAGUUGGUUGCUCCAGAAGUAGGUAGUCUAACCGCAAGGGGGACGCUUACCACGGAGUGGUCAAUGACUGGGGUGAAGUCGUAACAAGGUAACCAAGGG
rnacentral:rRNA from 1 species